UAUAGGUAAAUCACGAUGAAACGGUCAAGUUUAACGUUUAUACCUUUCACUAUCCAGCUAUUAGUGUGCACUUUUCGGCCGCCGCUACUAAUAAUUAAUACGGUAUAAUAUUAUAAUAAUAAUAUCAUGCAUAUUAUUAUAUGAAUACCUGCAGUGUACACAUCGUAUUUUAUUCACUCGCCCAUUCCUCCUGCAGGCGCCCAAAAUGACGCAUAUCUGGUACCUAUCAUAUAUAGGUACGUACCUAUAUUUAAUAUUAAUUGUAUGGUAAAACGCAUUGUCAAAUACUCCGAUAAUAUGCCCUGAAAGUUAAUUACGAUUGCACGUGGUCGGUGAACAUUAUUAUAUAGUAUACACAGAGAGCAUAUAUAUUUUUUUAUUCUGCGUUUGUCCUUGGUAAUUGAUGAUAUUUAUAAGACAAUCUUGUACUCCGGGCGGCAACCCGUUGUUGACCUCUGGGCUCUGACGAAUACUUUCACUGCACCAACCCAUUCGGUUCUUCACCUACAUUUUUUCACGCUCCGCGGUAACGCAAAAUUCGAGUACGUAGAUGCCAUCCUUAAUUUAUGUGUACCUAUAACUAUAACUACACUGUUGUGUUACGUUCAAGUAAAUAAAUAAUACGGCCAAUUUAUUGACAAUAAUACGCGUUUUACUAUGAGAGGAUUUUAAUACUGUUUGUAUAUUAUUAUUAUAUACCGAUCACGUAUCACGCGAUAUCUAUAUACACGGGAUAUGGUCGUUUAAUUCCGUACGUAUAAUAUGUUAUAUAGUAAACGUUUCACGUUUCCAGACUUAAAACGCUUUUAAGACGAUUCGAAUACUUGUCCGGUGAUUUAUUAAAUGUCAAUGAUUAGUUCGGUAAUAAAAUUUCGGUGAUAAAAGCGAAAAAAAACCAUAAAACAGCGUCGCAGUCUUUCCAUUUCUCUCGGUGUCAACACGCCGUCUGGGCUCACGACUGUUAAAAACAUAUACCGGAAAUGUGCAAAUAACGAAGUUCGUGCGUCGUCGAGACAUAAAAGGAAACAUAAGUACCACUUAUAAUUUUGUUGGACAUUAAAAUUUGAUCGCUUAUCGCGAUUCUCGGGCGAAUCGCUGAAAAGCGUGAGGAGUUUUCCGGGUCCGUUUCAGUUCCAAGUAUUAUAUAUAGCUAUAAUGUCGAGCCCAAGUCAUAUCGUUUUGGCGAAACGUUGCGGACACUAAUUUACACCUGCAGCGAUAUAUCGAUAUAAGUGUACAUAAAAUAGUAUUGUUAUACAAACGCAAGUAUAUACGUUGUAAAGGUAGGUUCUGUAUUAUAUAUACACAUAUCUAUCGCCGUCACGUAUCAUUAACCGCAGUGUAUAUAUAAUACGAUUUCGUAAAAUUGUGCAGUGCUCUAUGAGUCAUCGCAGUCGACUUUCGUUUUCUCUGGGGGCGAUGUGUCUGUAGGUCCCGCUCCGCACAGGUGUGGAUUUGCUGUUGUAGAGCGGCGGUACGCAACAAUGUCGGUAUACUUACUUACGCCUACAGGGUGAUUCACCGAGCACGCUCACCCCCAUUUUUUCGUCAAAUAACAUUACCUAUAUAUUAUUCUAAUUUUUAGAGUUUUUAAAUAAUGUUUCUAAAGUUCUUGACAUUUUUUGUGUUUCAUACUUUAAGAGUGUCUUGUG